rnacentral:rRNA from 1 species
UACGUAGGGGGCUAGCGUUGUCCGGAAUCAUUGGGCGUAAAGAGCGUGUAGGCGGCCAGGUAGGUCUGCUGUGAAAACUCGAGGCUUAACCUCGAGAUGUCGGCGGAAACCAUCUGGCUAGAGUCCGGAAGAGGAGAGUGGAAUUCCUGGUGUAGCGGUGAAAUGCGCAGAUAUCAGGAAGAACACCCGUGGCGAAGGCGGCUCUCUGGGACGGUACUGACGCUGAGACGCGAAAGCGUGGGGAGCGAACAGG